rnacentral:sRNA from 1 species
AUAAUCUUCGAUUAACUACGCACGCGCUGCCCUAUUUGUCCGGGGGUGCCCGAAAGGGUUCCGGCCAAGGCAGCGCGGAGGCAAACC